UACGUAGGCAGCGAGCGUUGUUCGGAGUUACUGGGCGUAAAGGGUGUGUAGGCGGUCCUCUAAGUUUGGUGUGAAAUCUCCCGGCUCAACCGGGAGGGUGCGCCGAAAACUGGAGGGCUAGAGUGCGGGAAGGGAGAGUAGAAUUCCUGGUGUAGCGGUGAAAUGCGCAGAUAUCAGGAGGAACACCGAUUGCGAAGGCAGCUCGCUGGGACGUUACUGACGCUGAGACGCGAAAGCGUGGGGGAGCAAACAGG
rnacentral:rRNA from 1 species